rnacentral:snoRNA from 1 species
UGAGUUUUGUGCAAGGUGAUAACUUAAUGUUUUCAUUGGGCAUUCUGAUGGGCAAAGGAAAUUACCAUUUCAAACUCAGGAAAACUUAAGUGUUUUUGUGUUGUAUCCUGUCAGGGGACACAUUC